CGGGGCUCCAUAGUGGGCGGGGCUUCCUCCAGUUCCGGAGUCCAGUGGCUGACCGCCUUGCUGGAGCGGAGAUGCAGCCGCCGCCCCGAAAAGUGAAGCCGGCCCAGGAGGUGAAGCUUCGCUUCCUGGAACAGCUGAGCAUCCUUCAGACCUGGCAGCAGAGGGAGGCGGAUCUGCUGGAGGACAUCAGAUCCUACAGCAAGCAGAGGGCAGCCAUUGAACGGGAGUAUGGGCAGGCACUCCAGAAACUGGCUGGCCCAUUCCUGAAGAGGGAAGGGCACCGGAGCGGUGAGAUGGACAGCAGACCUUCUCUGGGGAGGGGCAGGACAGUGUUCGGUGCCUGGCGCUGCCUGCUGGAUGCCACCGUGGCUGGGGGCCAAACCCGACUCCAGGCGUCUGACCGAUACCGUGACCUAGCAGGGGGUACAGGGCGGAGCGCCAAGGAGCAGGUGCUUAGGAAGGGAACAGAGAACCUCCAGAGGGCGCAGGCUGAGGUGCUGCAGUCUGUCCGGGAGCUGAGCCGAAGUCGGAAGCUGUAUGGGCAGCGGGAACGUGUGUGGGCCUUGGCACAGGAGAAGGCGGCUGAUGUCCAGGCCAGGCUAAACCGAAGUGACCAUGGGAUCUUCCACUCUCGGACCAGUCUCCAGAAACUGAGCACCAAGCUGUCCGCCCAGUCAGCCCAGUACUCCCAGCAGCUGCAAGCAGCCCGCAAUGAGUACCUGCUUAACUUGGUGGCUACCAAUGCCCACCUCGACCAUUACUACCAGGAGGAACUGCCAGCUCUGCUCAAGGCCCUGGUCAGUGAGCUGUCAGAGCACUUGAGGGACCCCCUGACCUCCCUGAGCCGCACUGAGCUGGAAGCCGCAGAGGUCAUCCUGGAGCAUGCCCACCGCGGGGAGCAGACAACCUCCCAGGUAAGCUGGGAGCAAGACCUGAAGCUGUUUCUUCAGGAGCCUGGUGUAUUUUCCCCCACCCCACCUCAGCAGUUUCAGCCAGCAGGGACUGAUCAGGUGUGUGUCCUGGAGUGGGGAGCAGAAGGCGUGGCUGGCAAGAGUGGCCUGGAGAAAGAGGUUCAGCGCUUGACCAGCCGAGCUGCCCGUGACUACAAGAUCCAGAACCAUGGGCAUCGGGUACUGCAACGACUGGAGCAGAGGCGGCAGCAGGCUUCAGAGCGGGAGGCUUCAAGCAUAGAACAGAGGUUACAGGAAGUGCGAGAGAGCAUCCGCCGGGCACAGGUGAGCCAGGUGAAGGGGGCUGCCCGGCUGGCUCUGCUGCAGGGGGCUGGCUUAGAUGUGGAGCGCUGGCUGAAGCCAGCCAUGACCCAGGCCCAGGAUGAGGUGGAGCAGGAGCGGCGGCUCAGUGAGGCUCGGCUGUCCCAGAGGGACCUCUCUCCAACCGCUGAGGAUGCUGAGCUUUCUGACUUUGAGGAAUGUGAGGAGACGGGAGAGCUCUUUGAGGAGCCUGCCCCCCAAGCCCUGGCCACGAGGGCCCUCCCCUGCCCUGCACACGUGGUAUUUCACUAUCAGGCAGGGCGUGAGGAUGAGCUGACAAUCACGGAGGGUGAGUGGCUGGAGGUCAUAGAGGAGGGAGAUGCUGACGAAUGGGUCAAGGCUCGGAACCAGCACGGCGAGGUAGGCUUUGUCCCUGAGCGAUAUCUCAACUUCCCGGACCUCUCCCUCCCAGAGAGCAGCCAAGACAGUGACAAUCCCUGCGGGGCAGAGCCCACAGCAUUCCUGGCACAGGCCCUGUACAGCUACACCGGACAGAGUGCAGAGGAGCUGAGCUUCCCUGAGGGGGCACUCAUCCGUCUGCUGCCCCGGGCCCAAGAUGGAGUAGAUGACGGCUUCUGGAGGGGAGAAUUUGGGGGCCGUGUUGGGGUCUUCCCCUCCCUGCUGGUGGAAGAGCUGCUUGGCCCCCCAGGGCCACCUGAACUCUCUGACCCUGAACAGAUGCUGCCAUCCCCUUCUCCUCCCAGCUUCUCCCCACCUGCACCUACCUCUGUGUUGGAUGGGCCCCCUGCACCUGUCCUGCCUGGGGGUGAGUGGAAGGAACUGGGAGCCCUGGGAGGCUAACAGACAGGAAGAAGGAGGAAGCUUGGACUCCCAGGUCACGCUCUGGUCCUCUCCGUGCCCUCAGGCAUCUUGCUUGGUGGAGAGCACUUGCCUGGGCUCUGGAGCCAGGCUGACUGGUUCAGGUCCCGCUCUGUCAUCUCCAAGUGUGUGGUGGGAUUCUGAACCUGUCUUGGCCUCAGUUUAUGUUCUUUAUGAGACAAAGCCCUGGACUUCCCCGGGUUCCUGGACAUGAUGGCACCUCGACUCAGGCCGAUGCGUCCACCACCUCCCCCGCCGGCUAAAGCCCCGGAUCCUGGCCACCCAGAUCCCCUCACCUGAAGGCCAGGGAAGCCUUGACCCCCAGUGAUGCUGCUGUCCCUAUCUUCAAGCUGUCAGACCACACCAUCAAUGAUCCAGAGCAACACAGCCAAAAGCUGGAAUCGCCCUUAUUUCCACCCUCACCUCCAAGGGUGGAAACUUGCCCCUUCCCAUUUCUGGAGCUGGAACCCACUCCUUUUUUUCCCAUUGUUCUAUCAUCUCUAGGACCGGAACUACUACUUUCUCUUCUGUCAUCACCCUAUCUAGGGUGGUGAAAUGCCUGAAAUCUCUGGGGCUGGAAACCAUCCAUCAAGGUCUCUAGUGGUUCUGGCCCACCUCUUUCCCCACCCUGGCUCCAUGACCCACCCCACUCUGGAUGCCAGGGUCACUGGGGUUGGGCUGGGGAGAGGAACAGGCCUUGGGAAUCAGGAGCUGGAGCCAGGAUUCGAAGCAGCUGUAAUGGUCUGAGCGGAUUUAUUGACAAUGAAUAAAGGGCACGAAGGCCAGGCCAGGGCCUGGGCCUCUUGUGCUAAGAGGGCA